GAAGGUAUAACUCAGUGGAAGAGUGCGAACUUCGCAUGCAUGAAGUCCUGGGUUCAAUCCCCAGUAUCUCCA
rnacentral:tRNA from 1 species